GAUGAACGCUGGCGGCGUGCCUAAUACAUGCAAGUCGAGCGAACAGACGAGGAGCUUGCUCCUUCGACGUUAGCGGCGGACGGGUGAGUAACACGUAGGUAACCUACCUAUAAGACGGGGAUAACUUCGGGAAACCGGAGCUAAUACCGGAUAAUAUUUCGAACCGCAUGGUUCGAUAGUGAAAGAUGGCUUUGCUAUCACUUAUAGAUGGACCUGCGCCGUAUUAGCUAGUUGGUAAGGUAACGGCUUACCAAGGCAACGAUACGUAGCCGACCUGAGAGGGUGAUCGGCCACACUGGAACUGAGACACGGUCCAGACUCCUACGGGAGGCAGCAGUAGGGAAUCUUCCGCAAAGGGCGAAAGCCUGACGGAGCAACGCCGCGUGAGUGAUGAAGGUCUUCGGAUCGUAAAACUCUGUUAUUAGGGAAGAACAAACGUGUAAGUAACUGUGCACGUCUUGACGGUACCUAAUCAGAAAGCCACGGCUAACUACGUG
rnacentral:rRNA from 1 species